rnacentral:rRNA from 1 species
CCUACGGGUGGCAGCAGUGGGGAAUAUUGCACAAUGGGCGCAAGCCUGAUGCAGCCAUGCCGCGUGUGUGAAGAAGGCCUUCGGGUUGUAAAGCACUUUCAGCGGGGAGGAAGGCGUUAAGGUUAAUAACCUUGGCGAUUGACGUUACCCGCAGAAGAAGCACCGGCUAACUCCGUGCCAGCAGCCGCGGUAAUACGGAGGGUGCAAGCGUUAAUCGGAAUUACUGGGCGUAAAGCGCACGCAGGCGGUCUGUCAAGUCGGAUGUGAAAUCCCCGGGCUCAACCUGGGAACUGCAUUCGAAACUGGCAGGCUAGAGUCUUGUAGAGGGGGGUAGAAUUCCAGGUGUAGCGGUGAAAUGCGUAGAGAUCUGGAGGAAUACCGGUGGCGAAGGCGGCCCCCUGGACAAGGACUGACGCUCAGGUGCGAAAGCGUGGGGAGCAAACAGGAUUAGAUACCCCUGUAGUC